CAGAAUUCUUUAUGUAUCUGGAGGAACUGCAGUGUUGUGGGUGGUCUCUACUCAGAGGGCAACAAGUUAAUUCCUCGCUUUUAUAUUUUGGCAUUUUUCUAAGACGGUCUGACCUUCUGCUUUCCAGUUUUGAUCUUAAUGUGAAUAACCCUGUUAGGAGUGAACCUAAAGCUAUAUUCUUAACAUGUUCUUCUUCCUUUGAAGAGUCAGGACCCCCUAAAUAAAAUUAAAAAUGUGCAGCUGACUGCAGCUCCAGUGACAUCAUCCCGCAGGCUAUCUCAUCUUUGUCUUCUUGUCC